rnacentral:rRNA from 1 species
CCUACGGGCGGCAGCAGUGGGGAAUAUUGGACAAUGGGGGCAACCCUGAUCCAGCCAUGCCGCGUGUGUGAAGAAGGCCCUCGGGUUGUAAAGCACUUUCAGUGAGGAAGAACGCCUGGUGGUUAAUACCCAUCAGGAAAGACAUCACUCACAGAAGAAGCACCGGCUAACUCCGUGCCAGCAGCCGCGGUAAUACGGAGGGUGCGAGCGUUAAUCGGAAUUACUGGGCGUAAAGCGCGCGUAGGUGGCUUGAUAAGCCGGUUGUGAAAGCCCCGGGCUCAACCUGGGAACGGCAUCCGGAACUGUCAAGCUAGAGUGCAGGAGAGGAAGGUAGAAUUCCCGGUGUAGCGGUGAAAUGCGUAGAGAUCGGGAGGAAUACCAGUGGCGAAGGCGGCCUUCUGGACUGACACUGACACUGAGGUGCGAAAGCGUGAGUAGCAAACAGGAUUAGAUACCCGUGUAGUC